AGAACGAACGCUGGCGGCAUGCCUAACACAUGCAAGUCGAGCGCCCCGCAAGGGGAGCGGCAGACGGGAGAGUAACACGUGGGAACGUACCUUUCGGUUCGGAACAACCCAGGGAAACUUGGGCUAAUACCGGAUACGCCCGCAAGGGGAAAGAUUUAUCGCCGGAAGAUCGGCCCGCGUCUGAUUAGCUAGUUGGUGAGGUAACGGCUCACCAAGGCGACGAUCAGUAGCUGGUCUGAGAGGAUGAUCAGCCUCACUGGGACUGAGACACGGCCCAGACUCCUACGGGAGGCAGCAGUGGGGAAUAUUGGACAAUGGGCGCAAGCCUGAUCCAGCCAUGCCGCGUGGGUGAUGAAGGCCCUAGGGUUGUAAAAGCCCUUUCGGCGGGGAAGAUAAUGACGGUACCCGCAGAAGAAGCCCCGGCUAACUUCGCGCCAGCAGCCGC
rnacentral:rRNA from 1 species